rnacentral:rRNA from 1 species
AACGAACGCUGGCGGCAGGCCUAACACAUGCAAGUCGAGCGCGCCCUUCGGGGUGAGCGGCGGACGGGUGAGUACGCGUGGGAACGUGCCCUUCUCUGCGGAAUAGCCUCGGGAAACUGAGAGUAAUACCGCAUACGCCCUUUGGGGGAAAGAUUUAUCGGAGAAGGAUCGGCCCGCGUUGGAUUAGGUAGUUGGUGGGGUAAUGGCCCACCAAGCCGACGAUCCAUAGCUGGUUUGAGAGGAUGAUCAGCCACACUGGGACUGAGACACGGCCCAGACUCCUACGGGAGGCAGCAGUGGGGAAUCUUAGACAAUGGGGGCAACCCUGAUCUAGCCAUGCCGCGUGAGUGAUGAAGGCCUUAGGGUUGUAAAGCUCUUUCAGCUGGGAAGAUAAUGACGGUACCAGCAGAAGAAGCCCCGGCUAACUCCGUG